GAUGAACGCUAGCGGCAGGCCUAAUACAUGCAAGUCGAACGGUGUCUUCGGACAUAGCGGCGCGCGGGUGCGUAACACGUAUGCAACCUACCUUACAUCGGGGGAUAGCCUUUCGAAAGGGAGAUUAAUACCGCUUAAGACAGUAGCUGGGCAUCCAGCAGCUGUCAACGAUUGAUCGAUGUAAGUCGGGCAUGCGUCCAAUUAGCUAGUUGGUGAGGUAACGGCUCACCAAGGCAAUGAUUGGUAGGGGAACUGAGAGGGCAAUCCCCCACCCUGGCACUGAGAUACGGGCCAGACUCCUACGGGAGGCAGCAGUAGGGAAUAUUGGGCAAUGGACGCAAGUCUGACCCAGCCAUGCCGCGUGCAGGAUGAAGGCGUUAUGCGUUGUAAACUGCUUUUAUACAGGAAGAAACGACUCUUGCGAGAGGCAUUGACGGUACUGUAUGAAUAAGCACCGGCUAACUCCGUGCCAGCCGCCGCCGUAACAC
rnacentral:rRNA from 1 species